UUAAGCGACUAAGCGUACACGGUGGAUGCCCUGGCAGUCAGAGGCGAUGAAGGGCGUGCUAAUCUGCGAUAAGCGCCGGUAAGGUGAUAUGAACCGUUAUAACCGGCGAUACCCGAAUGGGGAAACCCAGUGUGAUUCGUCACACUAUCAUUAACUGAAUCCAUAGGUUAAUGAGGCGAACCGGGGGAACUGAAACAUCUAAGUACCCCGAGGAAAAGAAAUCAACCGAGAUUCCCCCAGUAGCGGCGAGCGAACGGGGAGGAGCCCAGAGCCUGAAUCAGCAUGUGUGUUAGUGGAAGCGUCUGGAAAGGCGCGCGAUACAGGGUGACAGCCCCGUACACAAAAGCGCAUGUGCUGUGAGCUCGAUGAGUAGGGCGGGACACGUGGUAUCCUGUCUGAAUAUGGGGGGACCAUCCUCCAAGGCUAAAUACUCCUGACUGACCGAUAGUGAACCAGUACCGUGAGGGAAAGGCGAAAAGAACCCCGGCGAGGGGAGUGAAAAAGAACCUGAAACCGUGUACGUACAAGCAGUGGGAGCACAGGUUUACCUGUGUGACUGCGUACCUUUUGUAUAAUGGGUCAGCGACUUAUAUUCUGUAGCAAGGUUAACCGAAUAGGGGAGCCGCAGGGAAACCGAGUCUUAAUUGGGCGUUAAGUUGCAGGGUAUAGACCCGAAACCCGGUGAUCUAGCCAUGGGCAGGUUGAAGGUUGGGUAACACUAACUGGAGGACCGAACCGACUAAUGUUGAAAAAUUAGCGGAUGACCUGUGGCUGGGGGUGAAAGGCCAAUCAAACCGGGAGAUAGCUGGUUCUCCCCGAAAGCUAUUUAGGUAGCGCCUCGUGAAUUCAUCUCCGGGGGUAGAGCACUGUUUCGGCUAGGGGGCCAUCCCGGCUUACCAACCCGAUGCAAACUGCGAAUACCGGAGAAUGUUAUCACGGGAGACACACGGCGGGUGCUAACGUCCGUCGUGAAGAGGGAAACAACCCAGACCGCCAGCUAAGGUCCCAAAGUCAUGGUUAAGUGGGAAACGAUGUGGGAAGGCCCAGACAGCCAGGAUGUUGGCUUAGAAGCAGCCAUCAUUUAAAGAAAGCGUAAUAGCUCACUGGUCGAGUCGGCCUGCGCGGAAGAUGUAACGGGGCUAAACCAUGCACCGAAGCUGCGGCAGCGACGCUGAUGCGUUGUUGGGUAGGGGAGCGUUCUGUAAGCCUGUGAAGGUGUGUCGUGAGGCAUGCUGGAGGUAUCAGAAGUGCGAAUGCUGACAUAAGUAACGAUAAAGCGGGUGAAAAGCCCGCUCGCCGGAAGACCAAGGGUUCCUGUCCAACGUUAAUCGGGGCAGGGUGAGUCGACCAGCCUAAGGCGAGGCCGAAAGGCGUAGUCGAUGGGAAACGGGUUAAUAUUCCCGUACUUGGUGUUACUGCGAAGGGGGGACGGAGAAGGCUAUGUUGGCCGGGCGACGGUUGUCCCGGUUUAAGCGUGUAGGUGUGUGUUCCAGGUAAAUCCGGUUCACUUUAACACUGAGGCGUGAUGACGAGGCACUACGGUGCUGAAGCAACAAAUGCCCUGCUUCCAGGAAAAGCCUCUAAGCAUCAGGUAACAUCAAAUCGUACCCCAAACCGACACAGGUGGUCAGGUAGAGAAUACCAAGGCGCUUGAGAGAACUCGGGUGAAGGAACUAGGCAAAAUGGUGCCGUAACUUCGGGAGAAGGCACGCUGACACGUAGGUGAAGUGAUUUACUCACGGAGCUGAAGUCAGUCGAAGAUACCAGCUGGCUGCAACUGUUUAUUAAAAACACAGCACUGUGCAAACACGAAAGUGGACGUAUACGGUGUGACGCCUGCCCGGUGCCGGAAGGUUAAUUGAUGGGGUCAGCGCAAGCGAAGCUCCUGAUCGAAGCCCCGGUAAACGGCGGCCGUAACUAUAACGGUCCUAAGGUAGCGAAAUUCCUUGUCGGGUAAGUUCCGACCUGCACGAAUGGCGUAAUGAUGGCCAGGCUGUCUCCACCCGAGACUCAGUGAAAUUGAACUCGCUGUGAAGAUGCAGUGUACCCGCGGCAAGACGGAAAGACCCCGUGAACCUUUACUAUAGCUUGACACUGAACAUUGAGCCUUGAUGUGUAGGAUAGGUGGGAGGCUUUGAAGUGUGGACGCCAGUCUGCAUGGAGCCGACCUUGAAAUACCACCCUUUAAUGUUUGAUGUUCUAACGUGGACCCGUAAUCCGGGUUGCGGACAGUGUCUGGUGGGUAGUUUGACUGGGGCGGUCUCCUCCUAAAGAGUAACGGAGGAGCACGAAGGUUGGCUAAUCCUGGUCGGACAUCAGGAGGUUAGUGCAAUGGCAUAAGCCAGCUUGACUGCGAGCGUGACGGCGCGAGCAGGUGCGAAAGCAGGUCAUAGUGAUCCGGUGGUUCUGAAUGGAAGGGCCAUCGCUCAACGGAUAAAAGGUACUCCGGGGAUAACAGGCUGAUACCGCCCAAGAGUUCAUAUCGACGGCGGUGUUUGGCACCUCGAUGUCGGCUCAUCACAUCCUGGGGCUGAAGUAGGUCCCAAGGGUAUGGCUGUUCGCCAUUUAAAGUGGUACGCGAGCUGGGUUUAGAACGUCGUGAGACAGUUCGGUCCCUAUCUGCCGUGGGCGCUGGAGAACUGAGGGGGGCUGCUCCUAGUACGAGAGGACCGGAGUGGACGCAUCACUGGUGUUCGGGUUGUCAUGCCAAUGGCACUGCCCGGUAGCUAAAUGCGGAAGAGAUAAGUGCUGAAAGCAUCUAAGCACGAAACUUGCCCCGAGAUGAGUUCUCCCUGAGACUUAGAGUCUCCUGAAGGAACGUUGAAGACGACGACGUUGAUAGGCCGGGUGUGUAAGCGCAGCGAUGCGUUGAGCUAACCGGUACUAAUGAACCGUGAGGCUUAACCUU
rnacentral:rRNA from 1 species